AGUGCACAAAAUGGACAAAAAAUAUACUCAAAAGUUUCGAAAAGAAUGGAUUAAUAAUCCCAAGUUAAAAGAAUGGAUCAGUGAAUGUAAAGAUCCAGAGAAAGCUUAUUGUAAAUAUUGUAAAUGCGAAAUAAACGCAAAGUUAUAUGUGCUGAAUGUUCACGCAGAGAGUAAAAACAUAUCAAUGCAGUUGAACGCAUUGGUUCUACCAACCAACUGCCCUUUAAACCAGUCAGUUUGAAAAUACAACAACAGGAGGCUUCAUUGUGUAUGUUUUUAGCAGUACAUGCUUCAAUUUCAACUGUCGAUCAUUUGGGAGAAGUCUGCAAAAAUCGACUGGAAUGCUCAUCAUUAAAACUUCAUAGAACUAAGUGCACCAAUAUAAUAAAAAAUGUUCUUGGCCCCCACUUUGACGAUGAACUGCGUAAAGAUAUUGGUGAAGGAUAUUUCAGUAUUUUAAUAGAUGAAUCUUGUUCAAUGUGUGUGCCAUUCUCUUCAGCUGGCUGUGAACCAGUCUCUAAAAGAAUAUUUACCUGAGCAAUUAGAAUUCCUUGUUUAUGAAACCUACAGCUGGUUCCCUAAAAGUUCCAAGAGACAAGUUGUUUACAAAAAUUUGUACAAAAAUCUAAAUGAAAAGGACUCAUUGAAACAUCAGUUUCAAGAAUAUUGUCGCAAUGGGAGGAGCUCAAAGUGCAUUUCGAAACAGCAUACAUGGAAGAAAAAUAUCUAAAGGCUAAAAUCUUAUGUGAAUUAUACAACGAAGACAAUAUUCGUCUAUAUUUGUUAUUUUUGAAACCCAUUUUACUUGAAGUCCAACUAGUCAACAAAAUUUUUCAAGGCCAUGACAACAAUCCAACUCGCCUAUUAAAGGAAUUAUUAUUGCUGAUAAAUUUUUUGAAACGCAAAGUAGUUGGUGACGACAGUGUAGACGUUUUAUAUUCAGAUUUCGACGAAUUUAUUUUAUACACAUGCAGCCUUGGUCAUGAGUUUGAAACAUAUCUUAAGGAAAUUAAAAAAACGGAAACAUGAAAAAGAAGGCAGAACGUGAAAUUAGACGAAAUUGUGUUAAAUUUGUUGUUGAUCUCAUAAAUCAAUUGAAACAAAGGUUGCCCGAUAAUAUUAAAAUACUUCAAAAUAUUGAAUAUUUCUCUGUAGAUAACGUCUUAAAAUCUUCCAAAGAGGAUACUUUACCAAUCCUAAAUUUAUUUCAUGUUGAUGACGAAAUAUCCUUAAAAAUUCAGGAGCAAUACUCAAAUAUCCAUUAUAUAAAAUGGAAAAACACAAAUAACACUAUUUUAUUUUGGACGGAAGUAUAUAAAUAUAUACUUGGCGGAAAUAAAAAUGGUGAAAACUAACUUAAGAAAUAAAAUGCAUCUAUCAACCGUCACUUCGAUUUUGUCUAUCAGAUAAGGGUGCUAAAAAUAAUGACUCCAUUGUAAUUAAUUUUUAUUUAUUUUGCAGAUUUGGACUUAAAAAGAUCGAUAAAUGCUGUUUUGAAUACGACGUACCGAAUAAUUAUUUAAAACUAGUUGGUAACAGUGAGUCUUAUGACAAAAAUAAUAAUAUCCCAGAUUUUAUAGACGAUUUAUUUCUUUAAUGCUAAUUUUUUGUACAAAUAUUGUAAUAAGAAUGAUCUCCUAUUUACAACAUAGUGGUAAAAAAUAAAAAAAAUUAAUCGUU